UACGGAGGGGACUAGCGUUGUUCGGAAUUACUGGGCGUAAAGCGCACGUAGGCGGAUUUGUAAGUCAGGGGUGAAAUCCCGGGGCUCAACCUCGGAACUGCCUUUGAUACUGCAAAUCUCGAGUCCGGAAGAGGUGAGUGGAAUUCCUAGUGUAGAGGUGAAAUUCGUAGAUAUUAGGAAGAACACCAGUGGCGAAGGCGGCUCACUGGUCCGGUACUGACGCUGAUGUGCGAAAGCGUGGGGAGCAAACAGG
rnacentral:rRNA from 1 species